rnacentral:other from 1 species
AAUGACCUACUGCGUUGGUGAUUGCCAAUAACGUUUUUGAUCUAUGCUCGAAUUAUAAGGGAACCAAAAGCUGGGGUUGCAGUAUACCGGGCCUGUACCCGGAAACGAAGACUCAAAAGCAAACGGUACCCACCUGGGUUAAGCUCAGGUCAUAAACUGAGGUAAAACGGCGCAGCGGGUCUCUA